GUCCAUGUAGCUUACAGCAAA
rnacentral:tRNA from 7 species